UUAAUGAAAUAAUUUUUACUAAUUUUUUUAAUUUGCACUUAGUAAACGGUCUUCUAAUGAUAUACAAGUAUUUUUUUUCACAAAUCUUAAAGGUAAGAAUCCAUGCAAUGAGGAUGGUGUAAGUAUUGUUUAAGUGUUGUUAAUAAUAUUUCGAAAUCCAAACAAAAAGGGCUAGGAUUCUUCUUCACAAAUCUUAGGUUAAGGAUUUGCAUUGAGGAUGGUAUAAAGAGUCCAUUUUAAAUGUCUCACCAGCAAUACACGUAGGGAAAAUUAAUUAUCUCACAAAAGAAACAAAGUAAUCAACGCAUACACAGUGAAUGUUCUUAAUUUUCCUAAAUCUAGAUGAACAACCGAUUUCCUUCCAUGGUUUUUUCCCAAAAUCGUUUCGAUGAUAUCUCGAAACUUUCAUUUUUAAAGUUUAGUGAAUAAUGUUUACACGGUUUUCAUAAGAAUUGUAUUUUUGAAAAAAGUAAAUCUUAUUCGAUGUUUGCUUUGAAUCUAUACAUGGAACAAUAGAAGAUAUGUUCAUAAGACACAUGCGAUAAACAUGAAAUUCGAUUGGUUGCUCUGAAUUUUUUCAUUGCCUUAGUCAACAUGAAAUUCUCAAUGAUACUCCAUUGUCCAAGUACCUUAGAAAGGAUAGAAAUUAAAGUGUUGUUAGAAGACGUAAUGAGAAGCAAAAAUGGAAAAACUUCUGAAUCAGUAGCCAUUGCCAUAGGGAAAUAAUUAAGAUGGAGAAGAAUGGUUUUCU
rnacentral:lncRNA from 1 species